UAAUACGAAGGGUGCAAACGUUGCUCGGAAUCAUUGGGCGUAAAGCGCACGUAGGCGGCUAUCUAAGUCGGAUGUGAAAUCCCUCGGCUUAACCAAGGAAGUGCAUCCGAAACUGGAUAGCUUGAGUACUGAAGAGGAUCGCGGAAUUCCCGGUGUAGAGGUGAAAUUCGUAGAUAUCGGGAGGAACACCAGUGGCGAAGGCGGCGAUCUGGGCAGAUACUGACGCUGAGGUGCGAAAGCGUGGGGAGCAAACA
rnacentral:rRNA from 1 species